CUUUCCUUCCAGCGAAGUCAGUUUCAGAUUGUUUACCCGAAGGCCCUGUCUGUGUCUCCGGCCGGUAACUGUAGCCAGCGAAGAAGUAGUAGUUGUAGUAGUAGUAUUUUAUUAUUUUGUUAGGGAAGAAGUACGUCUUCUAGCGAGCGCUAACGCAGUUCGCAAGUGUCCUAUUCGUAAAGAGUUCCGAUACGAGGAAUUACUCUAUAAGUCUUUGUUCGGUGCUGUUUGCUGUUUUGCUAGCUCCAACGUUCGUCCCUCUCUUCGUCCCACGUAAGCCGCUAAGCUGAACUAUUUUCGCAAGCUGUCAGCUCAGCCUCUGUUGUUUGGACAAUGAAGAAAGAGCUGCAGUCUCUUGGUCCGCUGCAUAGCGGUGACAUGCCGCCGCUGUGCUUCUGUUCACAGCACUGCCAUGCAUCUCACCGGAUCAGGGCGCUUGUUUGGUGGUCUCGUGCUGGGUAACUUCCUCUACAGCGUAUGCUGCUUCCCGGCCGCCACAGCCCGUCUACACUGCCAUUGCCAGUGUGGUGGUAUUCAUGUGUUGUUGCUCAGUCUUGGCAGUGCAGGCUACUGCCAACGUGCAGAGUGACAGCUAGUGAAGCAAGGACUACUGCAGUAGCUACAUGACACAGUCUGCAGUCGGCUUCAGUUCCCAAGGUGACCAGGCGGCUACACGCAGCAGUGAAUGAGUCCGACGGUCGCAUCUUGAAAUUGGUGCAACUGCUCAAGGCUGGACCUUGGCCAGUGAUGAUGUGAAUAGCAACAAAAGUUCCCGAUCUACAUUGCAGAUAUCCGUGGGCAGCAAGUUGUUUCAGCCUCAUCCCCGGGUCUCGUCAACAAAGCUCAGAGACACUGGCUGAAUCGAGAUCACAACUUCAAGUCUAGUAAACAAUGAACUGCAUAGUUAAACUGGCUCAAUGUAUCGAGUCAAGCGUGCUCAACUGGAAUGUAGACUGGUGUUGCUACGCUUGAAUUAUUGCUCGUCAUGUUCACUGUCAUUGCUGCAGUGGUGGGGAAUGAAGCCGGGCCUCGCCAAUAGACAGUGCUGCUCAAUGAACUUGAAUCCGAUUGUGAGAGUCAAAUUAGUUGCAUAUUUUUCCAAUUGAUCAGAAAUUCUGAUCCAUUUUCUGAUCCAUUUUGACGACACAUGUGCAAUGUAGUAGGAAAUCAGUGUGCUGCUCGAUUUCCCCUGGAUUUCUAGAUCACUAGUACACCACUGGUCACUGGUACACCAUAGACCACAGUAGAUAUACAUGUAGACAGUGUAUCGCCAUGGACACUUGAUACCGUAAUUUGCCUGUUUUCAGAAUUGUCUUGUGUAGUUGCUUGUAAUAAGUUGCAUUAGUUGAUGUCCUAUGGUGAUUCUUGCAGUCUGUUUUCUAUGUUUACUGGUUACCGUUUACCUACAUGCUGCUAUGCAUCCAUUGAUCUGUAUGUGACUGGGACUGUGCCUCAUCUGCACAUUGCUUUCCCCGUUCCCGGUAUUUUCUAUUUUUUUAAAUUAAUUUUGUAGCUGAAGCUUUCAUGCUGGUCUCUUGCACUUUUGAAGUCCUUUCUAUCAUCCCUUGUCCUUUAUGACAAUCUUUCCUUGUUCGUUCUGAUCUUCCAUUUUUAAUUAUUUCUCUAGAUCAAACAAUAUUGUUGACACAAAUUUUGUGCACAUUCAGAUGAAUUUUUAUCAACACUUUCA